GCUAAAAAUCUAGCUCUCCACUAACACAUGCACCCUCUUCCCCUCAACUUUUAUUAAUUAAAACAUUUUUUUUCUUUAGUAAAGGAGAUUGAAAAACUUAUUGAAGCUAUAAACCUAGUACCGCAAGGGAAAGAUGAAAUAUCAAUGAAAAUUUUUAAGCAAAAAAAAGUAGAGCCCAACCCUCGUACCUUUUGCAUCAUGGUUCAACUAGUCUAAUCAAGCAAAAAGCAUUAUAGUUUGACCCCCCGAAACUAAGCGAGCUACUUCAUGGCAGCUUUAUGAGCCAACCCGUCUCUGUUGCAAAAGAGUGGGAAGACCCUCAAGUAGAGGUGACAUACCUAUCGAGCUUAGUGAUAGCUGGUUAUUCAGAAAAAGGAUUUUAGUCCAACCUAAAGUCUUAUUUUUAAGUUAAAAAUUCCUAUUGACUUUAGAGCAAUUCAAAUAGGGUACAGCCUAUUUGAAACAGGAUACAACCUCAUCUGACGGGUAAAAUUUUAUUUCAACUCCUAAGUAGGCCUAAGAGCAGCCACCUUUUUAAAAGCGUCAUAGCUUAGUCUUCCCAAUCCCCUAAUUCCCCACACCUAUUCCAACCCUCUAACGAUACUGAAUAAUUCUAUACCCCUAUAGAAAAUUUUAUGUUGAAACUAGUAACAAGAAGAAAACCCCUUCUCUUAAAUGCGAGCAUAAUUCAGAAAGGAUCGACCACUGAUAAUUAACGCCUAUGAACAAAUAUUAGCAACCCAUCAAGAAAAACCUAAUUUUAUCCACGUUAACCUGACACAAGAGCAUUUCAAGAAAGAUUAAAAGAAAGAGAAGGAACUCGGCAAAUAUUAACCCCGCCUGUUUACCAAAAACAUCGCCUCUUGAUUAAAAAUAAGAGGUCCAGCCUGCCCAGUGACGAAUGUUCAACGGCCGCGGUAUCCUAACCGUGCGAAGGUAGCGUAAUCACUUGUUCUUUAAAUGGGGACUAGUAUGAAUGGCACCACGAGGGUUAUACUGUCUCCUCUAUCCAAUCAGUGAAACUAAUCUCCCCGUGAAGAAGCGGGGAUGAAUAUAUAAGACGAGAAGACCCUAUGGAGCUUUAAACUUCUCUUCAGACGCUAAAUUAUUACCCCAAGUCACUGACCCUCCCGCAAUUACCACGCGCCAUGAAGAUGAAUUUUAGGUUGGGGUGACCAUGGAGUACAAAAAAACCUCCACGCUGAACAGGCCUCUUUUAGACCUUGAGUAAAGGGCCACAACCCAAAACACUAAUAAACUAACAUCCAUUGACCCAAUUUUAUUUGAUCAACGAACCAAGUUACCCUAGGGAUAACAGCGCAAUCUACUUCAAGAGUUCUUAUCGACAAGUGGGUUUACGACCUCGAUGUUGGAUCAGGGUACCCCAGUGGUGCAGCCGCUACUAACGGUUCGUUUGUUCAACGAUUAAAACCCU
rnacentral:rRNA from 1 species